GUCCACAUGUAGGGUUAUGUGGUCUGGCCUGCUCACUGAAUUUUUUUUAAAGAGCCGCAGUAUUUUGACUGUGCAAAGGUAGCAUAAUAAUUAGGUUUUUAAUUGGAACCUUGUAUGAAAGGUUAAACAAAAGAAUUUCUGUCUUUUUUUUAAAAAUUGAAUUUAACUUUUAAGUGAAAAGGCUUAAAUUUUUUAAGGGGACGAUAAGACCCUAUAAAGUUUUAUAAUAAAACAAAUCUUAAAAGAAGUAGAGAUUAUAAAUUCAAGAUUUGUUUUUUUAUUUUGUUGGGGCGACACGGAUAUAAAUUUAAUUAACUGUCAGAAAAAGAAACAUAUAUUUAUGAAAAGUUGAAAUGGUCCUAAAUAUAGAUUAUAAGAUAAAGUUACUUUAGGGAUAACAGCGUAAUUUUUUUCAAGAGUUCUUAUCGAAAAAAAAGUUUGCGACCUCGAUGUUGAAUUAAAAUGUCUUUACAGUGUAGCCGUUGAAAAAAGAAGGUCUGUUCGACCUUUAAAAUUUUACAUGAUUUGAGUUCAAACCGGUGUAAGCCAGGUU
rnacentral:rRNA from 1 species